GACGAACGCUGGCGGCGUGCUUAACACAUGCAAGUCGAGCGGAAAGGCCCCUUCGGGGGUACUCGAGCGGCGAACGGGUGAGUAACACGUGGGUAAUCUGCCCCGGACACAGGAAUAACCAGUGGAAACGCUGGCUAAUGCCUGAUGAUGUGCCGGCCUCUCGGGGCCGGUACCAAAGGAAGCUUCGGCCUCCGGUCUGGGAUGAGCCCGCGGCCCAUUAGCUUGUUGGUGAGGUAACGGCUCACCAAGGCGACGAUGGGUAGCUGGUCUGGGAGGACGAUCAGCCACACUGGGACUGGGACACGGCCCAGACUCCUACGGGAGGCAGCAGUGGGGAAUCUUGCGCAAUGGGCGAAAGCCUGACGCAGCAACGCCGCGUGCGGGAAGAAGGUCUUCGGGUUGUAAACCGCUUUCAGCAGGGACGAAGCCGGCCGGGUUAAUAGCCCGUGUCGGUGACGGUACCUGCAGAAGAAGGUCCGGCUAACUACGUGCCAGCAGCCGCGGUAAAAC
rnacentral:rRNA from 1 species